UGGCAUUAGAAGUAACUGCUCAAAAUAUCUUUAUUUUCUUGUUUCAACAAAGAAUGGCAAUAUAUUUUGGUAUACGAGACCUACUGCAUGAGUUUCAAAUUCAAUUAAAUAUAUCAAGUUUACACAAAGCCAUAUGUAUAAAGGGGAUCUUUUAAAAAAAACUUUAUUUGAGAAAGGAAGAGACUUAUAACAGAAGGCAAGAAGAGAAACAUACAAACAAUAUAUUUACAACACAAAACAAGAGAUCACCUUCAAGGGUGUAAAUUAUAAUAAAUACAGUAGAUUUUAAAAGAGACAAUUAUCAAUUAGUUCUAAGAUUAUUUAAGUCCAGCUUUCCUUUUCACUGGUUCCAGGUAGUUUCUUGAUUAAAUUCAAAGACUAUCAAAUUCAAACAAUUAAUGUCCACCAACUGUACUGAUGAAGCUCUCUCAAAUGACACUAUAAAAAAUAGGUUUUUUUUGUUUGUGAUUACAUAUCUUUGCAGUAAUAUUAUACAAAAGCCUGCUCAGCCACAUGUUCCUCCCCAAAUAAAAUGUAUUUUAAAAGAUGCACUAUCCCUUUUUUAUGAGAUUGCAAAAAGAUUUUAAAUAAAAUGUAUAUUUAUGAGAUGGAAAAAAUAUAAAAUUUUAUCUUAGGAAUGCCAUAUUUUUAAUGCAAAACAACUGACAAAAAGUCAUUUUAAUCUGAAGGAAUAUACUAACCAAAAUAUGUUGGUAGUAGGAAGUGUUGCCUAUUAUAGCUAUUUGUCAAAUUAUCGAAGGACUUUCAUUAUAUGGAAAAGUUUUAAACUUUCUAACUUCUAGUUAUGUUACUUUACUUU
rnacentral:lncRNA from 1 species